CAAGUCAGCACGUCCCUUACAUCCAGGGCGACACACAUCCUACAAUGGAGCCGACAAUGGGUAGCGACGAGGCAACUCUGAGCCAAUCCUUUAAACGGCCCCUCAAUUCGGAUUGAAGGCUGCAAUUCGCCUUCAUGAAGCCGGAAUCGGUAGUA
rnacentral:rRNA from 1 species